GGCAACCUCAUCCAAACACAAAGGUAGCUCACACCCACCACAGGUUCUCCAGAUACCACCCUUCACAUGCUGGGCACAGAGAGGUCCUCAGCCACAGGCCUUAGGUCAGGGAGAGCAGAAAAUGCACAAAGUUCAACAGACUCAAAAGGCAGUGAACUGAUUGACCUGAGUGUCGAGGCUACCCAUGUUGGAGGAGAGCUGCCGAGGUGUCAAGGAAGACUUCUCUGUCCUGGGUCUGAGAGCACCUGGAUUGCCUCAGCCUGAGAGAGCAGCAAGGCAGUAGACAGUCUCAUCCCAUUCCGAUGGUGACAGUCAUCUCCUGAAACCUAAAAGUGCCCACAGCCCUCCAUGUAGCAGAGCCCCAGGGGAAAAAAAAAAACACAGCCUAGGCAGAACAAGGACAUACUGAACUCAGUAGCCAUCAAGAGCCUGCAGCGCUAAAGGAACGUGAAGCCAGCGGGGUAGACAGGGCGACAACCCAGACCCACCUCAAUUCAUAACUAGAUUGGCUCCACCUCUUGCUGGUGGGUCAACAGAAAUGAAGGCAUAAGUACUUCUCCAGUCUUCUGUACAUGUCUGGCACUCAGUCAGAAGUGGCACAAUGCCAAAGAGCAAAUGAAAAACCCAGGGCCAAGAGACAACUGGGCAGAAGCAGAUGGGUGGACAGCAUGCGUGAGUAGGUGGGGAUUGUAGCAGAAGAGAAGAGUCGAGAAGAAACCAAGAGUCUGCCCUUGACGCCCUGAAGAGAAGACUCAGCAGUACAGCCAAAGAAGACCACAUGGUGUACAUCCCUGUCUGGCCACACCUGGUCUUUUACAGAAACACUGAUCAAUGGUUGGGAGAAAGGUAUCAUCAAAGAGACUGAGGGAGGCUGGCCCAGAAUUCCAGGACGAUAAAGGAGAACAGGAGCUGGGGGUUCUAACAUCCAUCAGUCAACCUCCCUGUCUCAGCCGCUCACAGACAGCCUGCAGUUCCAGACCAGCUCCACACCCUUCAGGCCCUCGUCCAGGAACAAUGCUGCAAUACACCAACAGAUCAAAACUGUUUCUCCAGCUUCUCCUAGACUGCAUCAUUGCUUCCCCUGGUCCACCACUCAAGGUGAAGUAAAGAAAAUGCCUUUUCUAGUCACUCCAGACUUGAGAACCCCAGGAUGAUGCUCCCCCCAUCAGAAAGUUGGCAGAUAGAAAAUGGCACCCUAUCCCUUGUGAGUAAAAGGUCUAGAUUAAAGGAAAUUUCCCUCCUUGCCCCUCUCGAAAGACUGGUGCCCUGAACAAGCUGAAGGUCCCAGGAAGUCUGCCAUCAUGGAAUUCCCAGAAAGCAGCUAAUCCCCCGGGGAGUCAGAGAAAAGCAGCCGACCUGUCUCUCAUCCUGCCAUUCUGAGAGACAGCUUAUGUAGAAAAGCAGUUCACUUCCUCAUUCUGACCCUGACAAGACCCGCCCCUCUUCCUUCUGUACCCUUAGCUAUCCCAUCCCCCAAACCACGUAAUUUGCAUUCCUCUGCAAGUUCAAUUGCUGUUCUUGGGGGCACCACCUCUCAGACCAAUAAAUGUCAACU